rnacentral:rRNA from 1 species
AAAACGACUCUCGGCAACGGAUAUCUCGGCUCUCGCAUCGAUGAAGAACGUAGCGAAAUGCGAUACUUGUGUGAAUUGCAGAAUCCCGUGAACCAUCGAGUCUUUGAACGCAAGUUGCGCCCCAAGCCGUUAGGCCGAGGGCACGCCUGCCUGGGUGUCAC